UGUGGAGAUGUUGAAGACUAAAGCUUGGGACCAGGCAUCCAUUGCUAUGCAUGAGGCCACAAUGAAGAAGGUCCCUCAGAUUGGGUUCCUCAGCAAUGACCAUUACAACAUUGUGGAACUUGAGGAUGUUCAUCACAACAGGAUUGGACAGUGGGUCAACACUACAUAUAGUGGCAACAUUAUGCAGCUUUCUCACCUCCUCAACUCUGAAGCACCUGUAGGAUCCUUUACCAUUGUAGUUUGGAUU